rnacentral:rRNA from 1 species
AGUAGUUUGAUCAGUGGCUCGAGGACGAACGCUGGCGGCACGCUUAACACAUGCAAGUCGAACGGAGUUAUUUUGAGUUUACUUAGAAUAACUUAGUGGCGGACGGGUGAGUAACACGUGAGCAACCUACCUUAGAGAGAGGGAUAGCUUCUGGAAACGGAUGGUAAUACCUCAUGACAUACAGAGACCGCAUGAUCUUUGUAUCAAAGAUUUAUCACUCUGAGAUGGGCUCGCGUCUGAUUAGCUAGAUGGUGAGGUAACGGCUCACCAUGGCGACGAUCAGUAGCCGGACUGAGAGGUUGAACGGCCACAUUGGGACUGAGACACGGCCCAGACUCC